rnacentral:SRP_RNA from 1 species
GCCGGGCGUGGUGGUGCACGCCUGUAAUCCCAGCUACUCGGGAGGCUGAGGCAUGAGAAUCGCUUGAACCCAGGAGAUGGAGGUUGCAGUGAGCCAAGACUGCUCCCAUUGCACUCCAGCCUGGGUGACAGAGCAAGACUCUGUCUCCA